rnacentral:rRNA from 11 species
AUAUGUGGCCUAAAUACCCCCAAGGCAGCAGCUCCUGAUUGAUCUCAAAAGCUAAGCGGGGCCAGCACUGGUUAAUACUUGGAUGGGAGACUGACAAUGACAACUAGGUGCUGUAGGCU